AGUCCGAGGCCGGACCAAAACUGCAGAGACAUGGGUGGAGCCUGCUGCCCUCCGCCAGGCUGGGUGUUCUUUAGGGAGCUCUCGCCUUGUAAAGUUCAUCUACACCGUGUAACUUACCAUUCUUUUUCACUAAAGCUAAUAGUCAUUUGUAGUGGAAUUAUCCUUGCUCGGUUUUUUGUGACCAGAAGCUGAUCCCCAACCUCUUUACGUGCACCUGAUUGCUUCCGUUAGCGAUUACGAUAGAUUAUCAUACUCAAGAGUCACACGUUGCUAAAGUACCUGCUUGUAGAGAGACGCAUGUUUCUUGCUGACUCUGAGUGUUAAGCACGAGGGAUAGUUCAGUCUCUUGUAGAUUUAAUUGGCCCAUCUGUUCCAGUUAGUAUUUGGACCACCAACUGCAAACUGAAUUUCUUCGGUGUUUUGUCUUCCAUGAUAAAUAGCAGCAAAAAUCUUAUAGUAAAAGUAUCAUCUCUUUAUUUAAGGGAAACUAUCACUGGCAGUACGGUGAAUUCCUUGAGUUUACUUGUAUCCUAUAUAAGCUUUAAAGAGCCUGAACAGCAGCACUGGCUGUCUUCUGGUUUAAAGGAAUACGUUGAAUCUACAUGGACUAUAUAGUUUUAACUUUUGUGUUCCUGGAAACAACAAAAUGGAAUGUUGUGGAGGAGUUUCCUCACCGAAGGGUCACCCCUAGACUACAGACUAAAAUAUGUUGUGAGGAGUAAACCUUGAUUUUUAUUUAUUUAUUUAUUUACUUACUUAGGAAAAGAAGCCUCCAACAAUGUUGGGUAAUGUCAAACGCCAGCUAUUGUUUGCCCUUCACUGUGCACCUAACCAAGGGUACCCUACGAUAACUUUCUCAGGAUUCUGGAAUUCAUCUGCUUUCCAAACUGACUGAUAAAUCUAUACAUGAAUUUUUAAAUGUGUUUAAACA
rnacentral:lncRNA from 1 species